AACGAACGCUGGCGGUAUGCUUAACACAUGCAAGUCGAACGGGUGUAGCAAUACAUCAGUGGCAAACGGGUGAGUAAUGUAGAGGAAUCUCCCUAACAGUACGGAAUAACUCUGGGAAACCAGUGCUAAUACCGUAUAUUCCCUUCGGGGGAAAGAUUUAUCGCUGUUAGAUGAGCCUCUAUCGGAUUAGCUAGUUGGCGGGGUAAAGGCCCACCAAGGCGAUGAUCCGUAGCUGGUCUGAGAGGAUGAUCAGCCACACUGGAACUGAGACACGGUCCAGACUCCUACGGGAGGCAGCAGUGGGGAAUAUUGGACAAUGGGCGCAAGCCUGAUCCAGCAAUACCGCGUGAGUGAUGAAGGUCUUCGGAUUGUAAAGCUCUUUUAGUGGGGAAGAUAAUGACGGUACCCACAGAAAAAGCACCGGCAAACUUCGUGCCAGCAGCCGCCGUAACAC
rnacentral:rRNA from 1 species